rnacentral:rRNA from 1 species
UUAAAUGAAUUGACGGGGCCCGCACAAGCGGAGGAACAUGUGGUUUAAUUCGAUGAUACGCGAGGAACCUUACCUGGGCUUAAAUGGGGAGUGACAGCUGUCGAAAGAUGGUUUUCUUCGGACACUCUUCAAGGUGCUGCAUGGUUGUCGUCAGCUCGUGCCGUGAGGUGUCGGGUUAAGUCCCAUAACGAGCGCAACCCUUACCGUUAGUUACCAUCAGGUUAAGCUGGGGACUCUAGCGGGACUGCCACCGUAAGGUGAGAGGAAGGUGGGGAUGACGUCAAAUCAGCACGGCCCUUAUGUCCAGGGCUACACACGUGUUACAAUGGCCGGUACAAAGGGCAGCUACUUCGCGAGAAGAUGCUAAUCUCGAAAGCCGGUCUCAGUUCGGAUCGAAGUCCGCAACCCGACUUCGUGAAGCUGGAUUCGCUAGUAAUCGCGCAUCAGCCAUGGCGCGGUCGAAUACGUUCCCGGGCCUU